rnacentral:rRNA from 1 species
UACGUGGGGGGCAAGCGUUGUUCGGAAUUACUGGGCGUAAAGGGCUCGUAGGCGGCCAACUGCGUCGGACGUGAAAUCCCCAGGCUCAACCUGGGAACUGCGUCCGAUACUGGAUGGCUUGAAUCCGGGAGAGGGAUGCAGAAUUCCAGGUGUAGCGGUGAAAUGCGUAGAUAUCUGGAGGAAUACCGGUGGCGAAGGCGGCAUCCGGGACCGGCAUUGACGCUGAGGAGCGAAAGCCAGGGGAGCAAACGGG